rnacentral:misc_RNA from 1 species
GCAAACUUGGUCAUUUAGAGGAAGUACAAGUCGUAACAAGGUUUCCGUAGGUGAACCUGCGGAAGGAUCAUUAACAAAUCAAAAGUGUGUUGUGUUUUUAAUCGUAUGAUUUUGGCACUACAUAACAUUUGUGCUCCGGUCAUUUGUACUGGUUGCAUCAUAUAAUAUCAUAUAUUCAUGAUUUUAUUGUAUUAUUGUUUUUGUUGUAUAUAGAGAAUCUUUUUAAAUACUUUUAACAAUGGAUCUCUUGGCUCUUGCAUCGAUGAAGAACGCAGC